CUCUCCCCGAUAUUGAAUCCCUUCUUCUGUCCCUCUCUCGACCUUUUUUUUUAUUUUUUUCUUCCUCCCUCUUCGUAUCUCGACCUCUCCCCUCUCUAUAAAAAAAGUUCCGAUUUUUCUUUUUCUUUUUCUUUCCUCAGGCCCUCGAUUUAUCCUCUUCUCUUCUUCAAAUCUUCUCUCUUUUCCUUUACAGUCCUCUCUUUCGAUUGGAUUUCGUCUUCUUCUAGGGUUCCUGAGCCGCCGAAUUCCCCCAUUUCGAGCGUUUCCGGAACCUUAACCCUAGCCCUUCCUCGAUAGGAAACAAGUCGGCCGCGGCAGAAUCGGAAUUGCCGACGAAGGGGGCUCUCGGGGAGGAGAGAAACGAGAACGGGUGGAUUGGAGCUGCUGAUAGGAGCAAAACGGAGGGCGAAGUUUGAGGUUAAUCUACUCUGCGAGAGAUUAGAGGACAGCAAUAAUCAAUCAGCAUCAUUUUAAAAAAUAGUAGCUGUUGUUUGUGGUGACUUGGUGACUGAUGGCUGAUCAUCAAAGCACAAAACCAUCUGCCUCUGGGGCUGGUGCGUACACAAUCAAUCUUGAGAAUUUCAGCAAGCGUCUGCAGGGGUUUUAUACACACUGGAAGGAGCACAAAGCUGAUUUGUGGGGCUCUGCCGAUGCUAUAACCAUUGCAACUCCCCCUACUUCUGAAGAUCUUCGGUAUCUGAAGUCAUCAUCCUUGAAUAUCUGGUUGCUUGGAUAUGAGUUCCCAGAGACGAUCAUGGUUUUCAUGAGCAAGCAGAUCCAUUUCUUGUGUAGUCAGAAGAAAGCCACUCUGCUUGAAACCCUUAAGAAGUCUGCGAAGGAAGCUGUUGGUACCGAUGUUGUCAUACAUGUUAAGGCAAAGAAUGAUGAUGGGACUGCCUUGAUGGAUGAGAUAUUGCGUGCUGUUCAUUCUCAGUCCAAAUCUGAUCCCAUUGUUGGAUACAUUGCAAAAGAGGCGCCGGAAGGGAAGCUUCUUGAAAGAUGGUCUGAGAAGCUGGGUGGUUCAAUGUUACAGCUCACUGAUGUGACACCUGGUUUCUCGGAACUGUUUGCUGUCAAAGAUGCCAUUGAGCUCACUUGUGCAAGGAAAGCUGCAUAUUUAACUUCAUCAGUGAUGAAGAACUUUGUGGUCCCAAAGCUUGAGAAGGCUAUUGAUGAAGAAAGGAAGGUCUCUCAUUCUUCACUAAUGGAUGAUACAGAAAAGGUGAUACUUGAUCCAUCCAAGAUCAAGGUCAAGCUGAAGGCAGAAAAUGUUGAUAUAUGCUAUCCUCCUAUCGUUCAGAGUGGUGGGAAGUUUGACCUUAGGCCUAGCGCAUCAAGUAAUGAUGACAAUCUGUACUAUGACUCAACAAGUGUUAUCAUAUGUGCAAUUGGCUCACGCUACAACAGUUAUUGCUCAAAUGUUGCCAGAACAUUUUUGAUUGAUGCUACUGCAUCACAGAGUAAGGCAUACGAAGUUCUCCUCAAGGCUCAUGAUGCUGCAAUAGGUGCUUUGAAGCCUGGUAAUAAGGUUAGUUCUGCUUACCAGGCUGCAGUUGCUGUGGUUGAGAAAGAAGCACCAGAACUCCUUCCAAAUCUAACCAAGUCAGCUGGAACAGGAAUUGGCCUCGAGUUCCGUGAAUCUGGGUUUAGCCUAAAUUCGAAAACUGAUCGGUCUCUGAAGGCGGGCAUGGUUUUUAAUGUCUCGCUUGGUUUCCAGAACCUCCGUGCUGAGACAAACAAUCCGAAGACUCAGACAUUCUCUCUUUUGCUGGCUGACACUGUUAUUGUUAGUGAAAAGCCCUCAGAAGUCUUGACUGCAGGGUGCUCCAAGGCAGUCAAGGACAUUGCUUACUCAUUUAAUGAGGAAGAGGAAGAAGAGGAACCUCCCAGGGCCAGACCUCCAGUUAAUGGCACGGGUCCCUUUCCAUCCAAAGCAACACUGAGGUCGGACAACCAGGAGAUGUCGAAGGAAGAGCUGCGGAGACAACACCAAGCAGAACUUGCUCGCCAGAAGAACGAAGAGACUGCCAGGAGGCUAGCUGGUGGUGGCUCUGCAAAUGCAGAUGGGCGAGGUCCUGUAAGAACUUCGACUGAACUAACUGCUUACAAGAAUGUCAAUGAUAUACCCUAUUCAAGGGAGCUGGUGAUACAAGUGGACCAGAGGAAUGAAGCUAUUCUUUUACCAAUAUAUGGAAGCAUGGUUCCCUUCCAUGUCUCUACUGUGAAGAGUGUGACUUCGCAUCAAGACAAUCGAACCUGCACAAUCCGUAUAAUAUUCAAUGUGCCUGGUACACCUUUUAACCCCCAUGAUGCGAACUCCCUUAAAUUUCAAGGUGCUAUCUAUUUGAAGGAGAUCACCUUCCGUUCCAAGGAUCCAAGGCAUAGCAGUGAAGUGGUACAACUGAUCAAGACCCUUAGAAGGCAAGUUGCAUCUAGGGAGUCAGAGAGAGCUGAGAGGGCCACUUUGGUUACUCAGGAGAAACUACAGCUUUCUGGCAACAGGUUGAAACCGAUCAGGUUAUCAGACUUGUGGAUACGCCCCACGUUUGGUGGUCGUGGAAGAAAGCUACCUGGCAUUUUAGAGGCUCAUAUUAAUGGAUUCCGGUAUUCGACAUCCAGAUCUGAUGAGAGAGUGGAUAUUAUGUAUGGAAACAUUAAGCAUGCCUUCUUCCAGCCUGCAGAGAGAGAAAUGAUUACACUUCUGCACUUUCAUCUGCACAAUCACAUAAUGGUGGGCAAUAGGAAGACUAAAGAUGUCCAAUUUUAUGUCGAAGUGAUGGAUGUUGUGCAGACAUUGGGUGGUGGGAGGAGAUCAGCCAUCGAUCCUGAUGAGAUAGAGGAAGAGCAGCGUGAGAGGGAAAGAAAAAACAGAAUAAACAUGGAUUUUCAGAACUUCAUCAACAAGGUACAUGACCAUUGGGCACAACCACAACUCAAAGAUCUAGAUCUGGAGUUUGAUAUGCCUCUGAGGGAGCUUGGUUUCCAUGGAGUUCCUCAUAAGGCUUCAGCUUUCAUUGUUCCAACUUCAAGCUGUUUAGUUGAACUUACUGAGACCCCAUUUCUGGUAGUUACUUUGAGUGAGAUUGAAAUUGUUAAUCUGGAAAGGGUAGGGCUUGGACAGAAGAACUUUGACAUGACCAUCGUAUUCAAAGACUUCAAGAAAGAUGUUCUUCGCAUAGAUUCUAUUCCAUCCACAUCUUUAGAUGGAAUUAAAGAGUGGCUCGACACUACUGAUCUGAAGUAUUAUGAGAGCAGGUUGAACUUAAAUUGGCGCCCGAUCUUGAAAACUAUUAUUGAUGACCCUCAGAAGUUUAUUGAAGAUGGUGGAUGGGAGUUCCUAAACUUGGAGGCAAGUGACUCAGAAUCAGAUAAUACUGAGGAAUCAGACCAAGGGUAUGAGCCCUCUGAUCUGGAGCCGGAUUCUGCUUCUGAGGGUGAUGAUAAUGGCAGUGAGUCACUGGUGGAGUCAGAUGAAGAUGAAGAGGAGGAUUCAGAGGACUCUGAGGAGAAGGGGAAGACUUGGGAGGAGCUGGAGCGGGAGGCAAGUAAUGCUGACAGGGAGAAGGGUGAUGAAUCAGACAGUGAAGAAGAGAGGAGGAGAAGGAAGGCAAAAGCCCUUGUGAAGUCCCGUGUUCCAGAUAUAAGGAAGGGUGUGCCUUCGAAGAGGCCAAAGUUUAGGUGAAGCACCUGCAUUUGAGCUGAACUAAAAGUUGGUAAGAAUGGAAAAAGCAGCAUGGUUUUCUGAAUAUAGCAUUAACAUCAAUAUACCUAUUCGCAGGAUGGUCUGUUGUCUGUAUUAUCAAGGUUUGCUUUGUCCUUGAUCUAAAUAGAUGACACACAGAGGAUGCUGACGAUGCAAGUAAAACAGGAUCCUGUUUUGAUUGGUCUCCCUGCAUCCCUAUGCAUUGUUUGCAUCGUUUUGAUGAUUGUGUUGUGGAAGACUCCGAGAAGCCAGAGGUAAUUGGUGGAAACAAAGCAUUGAUGGCAGUUGAUGAUGUUUGGAAGGUGAUUGAAAAUCAGGAUUUAUCUGCUGCAACUUCUUAUCUCCCCACAAGUUUUGAGUUAUCCACAUUAAUCAGAUAUCGGUUAUUUGAAGUGAGAACCCAAUACAGUGUAGGUGCACAAGGGCAGUCUAAAAAAUUUAGAGCAAGAGAUGCUUGGGAAGCAUUCAUGGGAGUUAUUGAAAAUAUUUCAAAGCUGGUUUCGCCCAUUCUUUCAAAAGUUUCUUGUUAAUAAGGUUUGAAAAGUCUUACUGUGAAGGGUUUCUUGCAGGGCCAUGCCUGUACUUUCUGAAAUUACAGGUCAGUGCAUUUCUUUCCCUUUAUUGUAUGGUGGUCACUAUAUUUUUAAGGAAAUAUCGGAAGCAGUCCCUGGGUUAAACUGUGUUACAAAGCUAUCACAAUAUUC